rnacentral:rRNA from 1 species
GACAGAGGGGGCAAGCGUUGCUCGGAAUUACUGGGCGUAAAGGGCGCGUAGGCGGAAUGGCAAGUCGGUCGUGAAAUCCUUCGGCUCAACCGAAGAACGUCGAUCGAAACUGCCGUUCUUGAGGAUUGCAGAGGAGACUGGAAUUCCCGGUGUAGCGGUGAAAUGCGCAGAUAUCAGGAGGAACACCGGUGGCGAAGGCGGGUCUCUGGGCCGAUACUGACGCUGAGGAGCGAAAGCAUGGGUAGCGAACAGG